rnacentral:rRNA from 1 species
AAUUUUGGACAAUGGGGGAAACCCUGAUCCAGCCAUCCCGCGUGUAUGAUGAAGGCCUUCGGGUUGUAAAGUACUCUUGGCAGGGAAGACAAGGUAUCUCCUAAUACGAGAUACUGCUGACGGUCGCUGCAGAAUAACCACCGGCUACCCACGUGCCACCCGCCGCGGUAAUACGUAGGGUGCAAGCGUUAAUCGGAAUUACUGGGCGUAAAGCGUGUGUAGGCGGUUCGGAAAGAAAGAUGUGAAAUCCCAGGGCUCAACCUUGGAACUGCAUUUUUAACUGCCGAGCUAGAGUAUGUCAGAGGGGAGUAGAAUGCAACGUGUAGCAGUGAAAUGCGUAGAUAUGUGGAGGAAUACCGAUGGCGAAGGCAGCCCCCUGGGAUAAUACUGACGCUCAGACACGAAAGCGUGGGGAGCAAACAGG